GUGCGCUGAGGGGGCUCCUCCUGCUGCCAGGAGAGACGCUCCCUGGACGGGCCAUGCCCGCAGGGACCCUGGCCUGUGAUGGCAGAACACAAGGCACCCUCAGAAGAAGCAGAGGCUCCUCCGCAACAGGGCCAGUCUCGGCUGACUAGGACGGCAGGUCACCUGAGCGCCCGCCCUUGCUCUGCUGAACGGACUCUCCCUUGACUGGAAGCGGCCUCAGGGGACUGGAACUAACAACGUUCACUGAGCUUUUCCAUGGGCCUGGACUGAAUCCACUGGUCUGUGCGUUUCCUCCAGUCGCCUGGGCAGAAGGACAGCUGCGUGGGUCUCAGGCUUUCAGAACAUGCCUGGCCACUGAGGUGACCCAGCUGUGGUGGAGGUGGCAGAUCUGAAGUGACCCUAAGUAAGAACUGGGAAAAUGGAAGUCUCAUUGAAGGGCCGUUAGGGGCCCAGACACAGGAUGGAGCCGGCAGAGGACCUUGCUACACAGGAAUAGCGGCGGCAGGACAUCCUCAGAGAAGCAUUAACAAGAUUUUCUCUCCUUCCCUUCUGCCCAUCCCUGGGGGAAGAUGGAAAGGGGCAGAAGACAGAAAAAAAGAAAAAUUUCCAGGCUCUGGGCCUAACCAGGAUGUGGGAUGCUGGGUGGGGUGGGGGGAGAACAAGUGAGCUGAUGGCUCAGCCCGGGGCUUAAUCAGGAGUCAGAGUCUAGCCCAGGACGGUCUCUGUCCCAGGCAGGACUAGUUGGGGCGUCGCCCUCAGCCCCUGCUCUGGCACUGUCGCUGCCACUUUCUAACUUGAAGUCUCGCACAAUUCAUCCCGCCUCCAGGAAGCUUGGAUUCCUCCCCUGUGGAGUGGGAGCAGGGCGACCUCCCAGUGUGUGUGCAGGGCUGCCCGCAGGGGCCCUCU